rnacentral:rRNA from 1 species
AGAGUUUGAUCCUGGCUCAGAUUGAACGCUGGCGGCAUGCUUUACACAUGCAAGUCGAACGGUAACGCGGGUGCUUGCACCUGGCGACGAGUGGCGAACGGGUGAGUAACACAUCGGAACGUAUCCUGGAGCGGGGGAUAGCCCGGCGAAAGCCGGAUUAAUACCGCAUGAUCUCUGAGGAGCAAAGCGGGGGAACCGUAAGGACCUCGCGCUGUUGGAGCGGCCGAUGCCGGAUUAGCUUGUUGGUGAGGUAAAGGCUCACCAAGGCCGCGAUCCGUAGCUGGUCUGAGAGGAUGAUCAGCCACACUGGAACUGAGACACGGUCCAGACUCCUACGGGAGGCAGCAGUGGGGAAUUUUGGACAAUGGGGGCAACCCUGAUCCAGCCAUGCCGCGUGCGGGAAGAAGGCCUUCGGGUUGUAAACCGCUUUCAUACGGAACGAAAUGGUGCAGGUUAAUACCCUGUAUUGAUGACGGUACCGUAAGAAGAAGCACCGCUAACU